GUAAAGCCGUUUGGGAACUUGUGGAGACGGGGUGGUAGAGUGCAGAGACGAGAUCGCGAAGCUUUGAAAAGCGCGGGCAACAUCCGGGCACCUGGGCCGUCGAGCUGAGGCGCGCCUUCUGAGCCUGCUUUUUAGGGCGGAUGGCAGCCAUGCUGAAGUGCGUGAUGAGCGGCAGUCAGGUGAAAGGACUGAGGACGCACGCCCUGGCCACAGCCCCACCCACUCAAGUCCCUGUUAACUUCUGAGGGGAGGAUGAGGACCCAUCUCGUGUUACUUAGAGGCAGAUGUAAUAUGGGUGGUAUCCGGGAAAUAGAGUUGUACCAUCGGGCCACAAACUCGGGAUGCUGAGGACUGCAUGGGGAAGAGUUGAGAGAAAAAAAUAAUGUUUGGACAGUAAAAGUAUUUUUGUGCCAAGAGAACAGCAUUAACCUGUUUUUUUUUCCCCCAGAUUCUACCAUUUUUAAAAAUGUAUGAACUUGGAAAAGUCACUAAAUCUCUUUGGGGCUUAGUUUCUAAAACGGAAACGGUAUUUGGGAAAGCAGUUCAAGCUCUAUCACGAAUUAGUGACGAGUUCUGGCUAGACCCAUCUAAAAAAGGUCUUGCUCUAAGAUGUGUGAAUUCUUCUCGGUCAGCAUAUGGAUGUGUCCUGUUCUCUCCUGUGUUUUUUCAACAUUAUCAAUGGUCAGCUUUAGUGAAAAUGAGUGAAAAUGAACUUGACACAACACUGAAUUUAAAAUGCAAAUUGGGAAUGAAGUCAAUUUUGCCCAUCUUUAGAUGUCUGAAUUCCCUUGAAAGAAAUAUAGAGAAGUGCAGAAUAUUCACCAGAUCUGAUAAAUGCAAAGUAGUUAUUCAAUUCUUCUACAGACAUGGUAUUAAAAGAACUCAUAAUAUAUGUUUUCAAGAAAGUCAGCCUUUGCAAGUUAUUUUUGACAAGAAUGUUUGUACUAAUACGCUAAUGAUUCAACCAAGAUUGCUUGCUGAUGCCAUUGUUCUUUUUACAUCAAGUCAAGAGGAAGUUACUCUUGCUGUUACUCCACUGAAUUUUUGCCUCAAGAGUUCUAAUGAGGAAUCAAUGGAUUUGAGCAAUGCUGUAUACAGUGAGAUGUUUGUUGGCUCAGAUGAGUUUGACUUCUUUCAAAUUGGAAUGGACACUGAGAUAACAUUUUGUUUCAAAGAAUUGAAGGGAAUACUGACAUUUUCAGAAGCUACACAUGCUCCUAUAUCCAUUUAUUUUGAUUUCCCUGGGAAACCUCUGGCUUUGAGUAUUGAUGAUAUGUUAGUGGAAGCUAACUUUAUUUUGGCCACAUUAGCUGAUGAACAAAGUAGAGCAUCUUCACCACAGUCACUGUGUCUUUCACAGAAACGAAAAAGGUCAGAUCUGAUUGAAAAAAAGGCUGGCAAAAAUGUAACUGGCCAGGCCCUGGAAUGUAUUUCAAGAAAAGCAGCACCAAGAAGGCUUUAUCCUAAGGAGACUCUCACAAACAUAUCUGCAUUGGAAAACUGUGGCAGCCCUGCAAUGAAAAGAGUGGAUGGAGAUGUCAGUGAAGUAUCAGAAAGCAGUGUCAGCAACACAGAGGAAGUGCCAGGGUCUCUGUGUCUCAGAAAGUUUUCUUGCAUGUUCUUUGGAGCAGUUUCUUCUGACCAGCAAGAACACUUCAACCACCCUUUCGACAGUCUGGCAAGAGCAAGUGACAGUGAAGAGGACAUGAAUAAUGGCAGUUUCUCUAUAUUCUAAUGCUUAAUGAUGGCUGAGCUGGCCCCCAGCCCAGUGACUGGCUCAUUUGCCCCUCAAGCACGAGUUUGCAUGUUUAGUGUCUAAAAGAGGUUGUCCAGGACUUCCUUUUAAUGGAGGAUGGGCUUUUAAACCACAUCAUCUUGUACAACAACCAUAUCUAGAAAUAGCUGUUUGUCAAGUGUAUGUAACUUGCUUUAAAUCCAUUAUGCUACUUGUGAGGCAGAAGAGUUUUCUGUGAAGGAAAAGCCCAUUAGAGUUCUUCAAUUCAAUGCACGUUCACCCUAGAGCUUUUAACAUCUUUGCUAGUUUUAUAAAGUGUGCUGCAGGAAAGAAUUUAAUGGAAGUGAUGCCAAAUAUUUCUGUAUUAUCUGACAUAGAACAGUAUCCUCCACUGCCAAGACAGCCUGAGUUUGGAGUGGAAUAAGGUGGAAGACAAAUGUCUCUGUUCUUUGGCCCUUUAAGAGUUAGCUUUUUACCUGCACAAAUGGACUAAAAAAUCUGGCACAAAACAUUGUUAUGUAAUGUCUUAUGAUGUGUGCCUCUCCCUCCCCCAAACCUGUUUACAGUCAAUUAUAACCUGACAAACAAGACUUUUAUAACAUAUUAUUGUUACAUCUUUCUGAAACCUUCAAACCGUAAGGAAGUGUUAACUGGCAAGCAAUUGUACUUUAGACUUUGUGAGAAAUUCAUAAAGGUGGCUGAGUGGAUUUGCAUGCUUUAGAACUGUGAAUAGAGUUCUAACUGAAACCAGAAUUAAUUUGGCUCUUGUAGCUUAGUAAUGAGUCACAGCUACCCACAAUAACCUAAUAAAAACUCAAGUUCAUCCCAA